rnacentral:rRNA from 1 species
UGUGUUUACUGUUUGCUUGGACGAUUCUGUUGGUUCGUUCUUAGUUCCCUUAACCGGGUGCUCUGAGUGGCCAACAAGUUUACUUUGAAAAAAUGGGAGUGCUUAAAGCAGGCGCUACAGCCUGAACACUAGUGCAUGGAAUAAUGGAAUAGGAUCUCGAUUCUAUUUCGUUGGCUUUCGGAGUCGAGGUAAUGAUUAAUAGGGACAGACGGGGGCAUUCGUACUGCGACGUUAGAGGUGAAAUUCUUGGAUCGUCGCAAGACGAACUACUGCGAAAGCAUUUGCCAAGAAUGUUUUCAUUAAUCAAGAACGAAAGUUAGAGGUUCGAAGGCGAUCAGAUACCGCCCUAGUUCUAACCAUAAACGAUGUCGACCGGCGAUCCGUCGUCGUUAACUUUAAUGACUCGACGGGCAGCCUCCGGGAAACCAGAGUGUUUGGAUUCCAGGGGGAGUAUGGUUGCAAAGCUGAAACUUAAAGGAAUUGACGGAAGGGCACCACCAGGAGUGGAGCCUGCGGCUUAAUUUGACUCAACACGGGAAAUCUCACCAGGCCCGGACACCGGAAGGAUUGACAGAUUGAGAGCUCUUUCUUGAUUCGGUGGGUGGUGGUGCAUGGCCGUUCUUAGUUGGUGGAGCGAUUUGUCUGGUUAAUUCCGUUAAUUCCGUUAACGAACGAGACCUUAACCUGCUAAAUAGUCACGAGAAAUUCGUUUCUCGGUAGACUUCUUAGAGGGACUUCGUAG